rnacentral:misc_RNA from 1 species
GUAGGUGAACCUGCGGAAGGAUCAUUACCGAGUUAGGGUGCCUAACCCGCGCCCGACCUCCAACCCUUUGUCUACCUGACCUUAUGUUGCUUCGGCAGGCCCGCCUGCCCGGACCUCGCGUCUGGGCGGGCCGCCGGGGGUCUCGCGACCCCGGGCCCGUGCCUGUCGAUGGCCCACACCAAAACUAUUGUUAAAACGUGUCGUCUGAGUUAUCUAAACAAAUGAAAUUAAAACUUUCAACAACGGAUCU